GGGUUAAGGUUAUGGUUAGGUGAAGGGGUUAGUUAAAAGGGUUAAGGUUAUGGUUAGGUGAAGGGGUUAGUUAAAAGGGUUAAGGUUAUGGUUAGGUGAAGGGGUUAGUUUAAAGGGUUAAGGUUAUGGUUAGGUGAAGGGGUUAGUUAAAAGGGUUAAGGUUAUGGUUAGGUGAAGGGGUUAGUUAAAAGGGUUAAGGUUAUGGUUAGGUGAAGGGGUUAGUUAAAAGGGUUAAGGUUAUGGUUAGGUGAAGGGGUUAGUUAAAAGGGUUAAGGUUAUGGUUAGGUGAAGGGGUUAGUUAAAAUGGUUAAGGUUAUGGUUAGGUGAAGGGGUUAGUUUAAAGUGUUAUGGUUAGGUGAAGGGGUUAGUUAAAAGGGUUAAGGUUAUGGUUAGGUGAAGGGGUUAGUUUAAAGGGUUAAGGUUAGGUGAAGGGGUUAGUUUAAAGUGUUAUGGUUAGGUGAAGG